GAGGAAUUUUGGUCAAUGGACGGAAGUCUGAACCAGCCAAGUCGCGUGAAGGAAGACGGUUCUAUGGAUUGUAUACUUCUUUUGUACAGGGGUAAAACGCUCUACGUGUAGAGCCUUGCAAUUACUGUACGAAUAAGCAUCGGCUAACUCCGUGCCAGCAGCCGCGGUAAUACGGAGGAUGCGAGCGUUAUCCGGAUUUAUUGGGUUUAAAGGGUGCGUAGGCGGUUUAUUAAGUCAGCGGUGAAAGUUUGAGGCUCAACCUUAAAAUUGCCGUUGAAACUGGUUAACUUGAGUGUAGAUGAAGUAGGCGGAAUUAGUGGUGUAGCGGUGAAAUGCAUAGAUAUCACUAGGAACUCCGAUUGCGAAGGCAGCUUACUAAGGUACAACUGACGCUGAUGCACGAAAGCGUGGGUAUCAAACA
rnacentral:rRNA from 1 species